GGCCUGAAAAAGGAGCAAGUUUGAGAUACCUAUUCUGCGCAACUCCAAAAGCCGUGAAAAUCAAUAAGGAUUUUUUUGGGAUUUAUAAAAAAUACUGCGCCGAAGAAGUACCAUAGGGGCGCCAGCAGGAGGCCACAUGCCUGCUAGGCGCGGCCUCCAGCUGGCUUGUGGCCUCCAGCUGGCUCCCCUCUGGUACUUCUUCGGCCCAGUAUUUUUUAUAAAUCCCAAAAAAAUCCUCGUUGAUUUGCAUGGCUUUUGGAGUUGCGCGGAAUAGGUAUCUCAAACUUGCUCCUUUUUCAGGCC
rnacentral:pre_miRNA from 16 species